rnacentral:tRNA from 1 species
GGCUGGUUGGCCGAGCGGUUAAGGCGACCGUUUCAAGUACGGUUCUCUCUUUUGGGGGGCGGGGGUUCGAAUCCCUCACCAGCCA